GCGGAGGCAAGGAGAGCUCAACAUGCGAAUCGUGCUCGGCACCGAAUUGCUCGGUGUAGUCCUUGGAAAAGGGCAGCAGAGAGGGUGAGACUCCCGUGGUCGAGUGUUAUUGCAGCUCAAAGCGGGUGGUAAAUUCCAUCGACAUAUUUGGGACCGAUGAUAGGAAGUCAUACUUCUAGCCGCUGCGGCGGGGCUGUCUCGUCGCAGCUUUUGGGACGCGCAAACCGAGGUAGCGCCGGUCCCGAGUGAGGCUGGCAAAAUGGUUUUCUUUUCCCCGUCUUAAACACGGACG
rnacentral:rRNA from 1 species